GCUAGGCACAGUGGUGCAUGCCUGUAAUCCCAACAACUUGGGAGGCUGAGGCAGGAGGAUGGCAAGUUCAAAGCCAGCCUCAACAAUUUAGCAACUUAUUUUGAGAUUCUGUCUCAA
rnacentral:sRNA from 1 species